rnacentral:rRNA from 1 species
CCUACGGGCGGCAGCAGUGGGGAAUAUUGGACAAUGGGCGAAAGCCUGAUCCAGCCAUGCCGCGUGUGUGAAGAAGGCCUUCGGGUUGUAAAGCACUUUCAGUGGGGAAGAAAGCCUUGGGGCUAAUACCCUCGAGGAAGGACAUCACCCACAGAAGAAGCACCGGCUAACUCCGUGCCAGCAGCCGCGGUAAUACGGAGGGUGCGAGCGUUAAUCGGAAUUACUUGGCGUAAAGCGCGCGUAGGCGGUCUGAUAAGCCGGUUGUGAAAGCCCCGGGCUCAACCUGGGAACGGCAUCCGGGACUGUCAGGCUAGAGUGCAGGAGAGGAAGGGAGAAUUCCCGGUGUAGCGGUGAAAUGCGUAGAGAUCGGGAGGAAUACCAGUGGCGAAGGCGGCCUUCUGGACUGACACUGACGCUGAGGUGCGAAAGCGUGGGUAGCAAACAGGAUUAGAUACCCGGGUAGUC